UGGGGAAUUUUGGACAAUGGGCGAAAGCCUGAUCCAGCAAUGCCGCGUGUGUGAAGAAGGCCUUCGGGUUGUAAAGCACUUUUGUCCGGAAAGAAAUCCUUGGCUCUAAUACAGUCGGGGGAUGACGGUACCGGAAGAAUAAGCACCGGCUAACUACGUGCCAGCAGCCGCGGUAAUACGUAGGGUGCAAGCGUUAAUCGGAAUUACUGGGCGUAAAGCGUGCGCAGGCGGUUUGCUAAGACCGAUGUGAAAUCCCCGGGCUCAACCUGGGAACCGCAUUGGUGACUGGCAGGCUAGAGUAUGGCAGAGGGGGGUAGAAUUCCACGUGUAGCAGUGAAAUGCGUAGAGAUGUGGAGGAAUACCGAUGGCGAAGGCAGCCCCCUGGGCCAAUACUGACGCUCAUGCACGAAAGCGUGGGGAGCAAAC
rnacentral:rRNA from 1 species